rnacentral:rRNA from 1 species
GACGAACGCUGGCGGCGUGCUUAACACAUGCAAGUCGAACGGAAAGGCCCUGCUUUUGUGGGGUGCUCGAGUGGCGAACGGGUGAGUAACACGUGAGUAACCUGCCCUUGACUUUGGGAUAACUUCAGGAAACUGGGGCUAAUACCGGAUAGGAGCUCCUGCUGCAUGGUGGGGGUUGGAAAGUUUCGGCGGUUGGGGAUGGACUCGCGGCUUAUCAGCUUGUUGGUGGGGUAGUGGCUUACCAAGGCUUUGACGGGUAGCCGGCCUGAGAGGGUGACCGGCCACAUUGGGACUGAGAUACGGCCCAGACCCCUACGGGAGGCAGCAGUGGGGAAUAUUGCACAAUGGGCGGAAGCCUGAUGCAGCAACGCCGCGUGCGGGAUGACGGCCUUCGGGUUGUAAACCGCUUUCGCCUGUGACGAAGCGUGAGUGACGGUAAUGGGUAAAGAAGCACCGGCUAACUACGUGCCAGCAGCCGCGGUGAUACGUAGGGUGCGAGCGUUGUCCGGAUUUAUUGGGCGUAAAGGGCUCGUAGGUGGUUGAUCGCGUCGGAAGUGUAAUCUUGGGGCUUAACCCUGAGCGUGCUUUCGAUACGGGUUGACUUGAGGAAGGUAGGGGAGAAUGGAAUUCCUGGUGGAGCGGUGGAAUGCGCAGGUAUCAGGAGGAACACCAGUGGCGAAGGCGGUUCUCUGGGCCUUUCCUGACGCUGAGGAGCGAAAGCGUGGGGAGCGAACAGGCUUAGAUACCCUGGUAGUCCACGCUGUAAACGGUGGGUACUAGGUGUGGGGUCCAUUCCACGGGUUCCGUGCCGUAGCUAACGCUUUAAGUACCCCGCCUGGGGAGUACGGCCGCAAGGCUAAAACUCAAAGGAAUUGACGGGGCCCCGCACAAGCGGCGGAGCAUGCGGAUUAAUUCGAUGCAACGCGUAGAACCUUACCUGGGUUUGACAUGGAUCGGGAGUGCUCAGAGAUGGGUGUGCCUCUUUUGGGGUCGGUUCACAGGUGGUGCAUGGCUGUCGUCAGCUCGUGUCGUGAGAUGUUGGGUUAAGUCCCGCAACGAGCGCAACCCUUGUUCACUGUUGCCAGCACGUUAUGGUGGGGACUCAGUGGAGACCGCCGGGGUCAACUCGGAGGAAGGUGGGGAUGACGUCAAGUCAUCAUGCCCCUUAUGUCCAGGGCUUCACGCAUGCUACAAUGGCUGGUACAGAGAGUGGCGAGCCUGUGAGGGUGAGCGAAUCUCGGAAAGCCGGUCUCAGUUCGGAUUGGGGUCUGCAACUCGACCUCAUGAAGUCGGAGUCGCUAGUAAUCGCAGAUCAGCAACGCUGCGGUGAAUACGUUCCCGGG